CGGCACCGGACAGCGGCGCCGAGCCCGUCCCUGUCCCCGUCCUCCUCCUCCUGCUCUUCCUCCUCCUCCUGGCGGGGCUGGCUCCGGAGAGUCACUCCUCGGCGCUCCGCUCUUAUUUUGGCUUUUCUGUCUCCUGCAGUAUCCCAUUUUCCAGAUGAGCAAAGAAUAUGGAAGUCACCUCGUGGUUCUCCUGGCUGGAGAGUCCCUUCUUAUGCAAGAGUACUGGUUGUACUUCACCUUGCCCUGCCUCAGGCUCCUUUUUGUGUUUUGCUGACCCUAGGUGUGUAUGUGAACAUAUUCAUUCAGCCCCACCAUGCCCAUACAGACCUCCGGAGUUAUUGUAAGGAACACUCAUCUUCACCUCUCAGUCAAAACACCUUAGGGGUCUGUGACUUGCCAGCUGUCCUGGAUAAGUGUAAAACAGACAAUUUUGGAAGAAAUGAAGAAAUAUAACACCUGAGGGUAAUACAUCUUGCAACAGUCCUUCAGAAGUAAUGACCUGUAAAACAAACAAACUUCUGCCGAAAAGAUCAUUCAGUCAAAAUUCUGAUUGACCCUAAACAUUCUCUGGACAAGGGGUGUCAUACAAAGAGAGGACUGAAAUACAGCAAGGUGGAAGGUUUGGGCCAAUUGGACGGGAGUGCUUGCUUCUGCUUCUCUUGUCCAGAAUUUGCCUGGGUUUGCUUUUACUGGGAUCCUGAGUAAUAGAUGCUUUUAUUUCCUCAUACAGUGAAUAAUGGGAGCAAAUCGAACAAGGACUUUGAAUGUAGAACACAAAUUAUUGACUUAAAAAAAAAAAAAUCUGAACUAUUUCCAGUGACAGGACUAUUCCUAAUGCAUCAGCAGCACUUACACUUUAACCAAUGUUUACAAUCACUUCUAAUUCUAUAUUUCACUCUUUCAAGCUAAACGUGAGUCGCUUUGAUUUUCAGGGUGAUUUCAAAGUCUGUUAAAUUUCAUGAAGCAUCAAAAUACAUUGACAACACAUCCAAUUAUUUGGUGGCUCCCAGAGCACACUGCCAGGUAUUCAGUAAUACUGCUCACUUCACAGAAAAAUACCUUAGAAUCACUUUAAGGAUUUUUUUUCUUAACAUAUUGGUACCACUUUAAGUAUUUCUCUGAAAGUAAACUCCUGCCCCCUAUUGCCCUUAAUAGCACUAAUCGUAUUGGCACACACCUCAGAAGGAAUAAAAAUAUCAUAGCGAGUCCAGUUUGGAAAGGUUCAGAAUUAGUCUGAUAUCAUCUAUUUAAUUACGUCGCAAGUUUCAUGUCACCUACCUACAGAGCAGUCCUGGCCGGAGAUGACUGUAGAUUUCUUGUUAUAAAAGUGUUAAUCUGACCACUCACUUGUAACUCAGCUCAAAAGAAUUUUCAUGAUUAAGAAGUUUUUAGUGAAAAUUCUUACUUGUUAUCAAACCAUCAAGGUUUAACCCCUGUUGGUAGAAAAUUCUCGAUCACAGAAACAUGUUAUUUCAGAGAAUUUGUUUAUAGAGUAAGCCCAGAGCACUUAACAACAGAGGCAUAAAAAUUCAACAAUCAAAAUAUUCCAGUAGAAAACUUGUUCGUACAGCAGACGAUAAAUAACUCCUGGUGUCAUAUCUCUUCCCAAUGUGACUAAUAACUGAAAAGAUUUCAGCUUUUAGUUCAUUUGAAUUUUUUCCUUCCUUAGAGAAGAAAAUUAAUUAACUACAUUUGGAUCACAAUUAUCCUCCUUCAGAUUCUGGAACUGUGAUAAGUAGAUGACCUACGUCUCGUUCAUUCUCUUUAAAACUUAACUUUUGAUGUGGGAUGGGGGCAAUGAACCAUUUUUGCCGCUUUAUAGCUUUAAGGCUUUUCACAAAAUAAAAUUUAACUGACAAUAAAGGAA